rnacentral:lncRNA from 1 species
UUUAUCUUUGCAAUAAAUACUUUAUCUUUUUAUUGAACUAUGUUAUAUAUAGGGAAAGUGCGUACAUCUUAAAUAUUCAGCUUGAUAAGUUGUACAAAUUGGACGUAUCUUAUAACCAGCAUUCAGACCAAGAAUCAGCUCAUUACCACAGCUACAAGUUUCUCAUUCUUGGCUAAUAUGAGCAGUGUAACUAUGAAUAUUUUAGUGUAUGCUUUAUGGUGAACACAGGUUUUAUAUAUCUAUGUCAAUUCAUAAUAAAGCUCUCCUAUGUUUUCCCACAGAAACUUUGCUGUUUUAUAUUUCAUAUUUAGAUAUGCGACUCAUCAGACAUUGAUUUCUGAAUAUAACAAAAGGCCAUAAUAUGCAUGUGUAUAUUCAGAGAACAUCUUUGUCAUCAUCAUCAUCACCAUCAUCACCAUCAUUAAUGUAAAUCUGCCUGAUAAUAAAACAAUUUUCUUCUCCAUCACACAACAAAUGUUUAGAAGUAUGUGAUUGAUAACUUUGUGUUGCAGAAUUCUUCUACAGAAAAGGCAAACUCUGUCAGUGUUGUGUAUCUUAAGAGAAGAUUGUUGCCCCUGCAUUAAGUGUGUAAGCAGUACACACACACACACACACA